rnacentral:tRNA from 1 species
AGUCUUAUAUUCAAUAAUGAUAUAAAAUUGCAAAUUUUAUGGUGUAUAAAUUACUAAGGCUU